AUGCAGACUCCUCACUAAGCAAGAAGCCUGAUACGGGACUCAAUACUAGGACCCCAGGAUCACGCCCUGAUAGGAAGGCAGACGCUCACCCACUGAGCCCCGCCGGUGCCCCUUAAAGGUUUUGCUUUUAAAGGUCUCAUAGCUGAGCUGCCUUGGCUGAGUAUCUAUUAACUGGAUGUUCUCCUCGAUCGCAGGUCACACCCUGCUGUUUCUUCACGAGGAACUUCUGGGGCCACAGGCAGAUGCCAGACUCCUAGCUCUCAACCCUGCACCCCAAAGUCUCCAUGCACUUCAUAGCCAACCUACAGAAAUUGUUGGCUUUGUUUUGUUUUGUUUUGUAAUAUAAUCAGUCCCGUGAAAAGCAGGACAGAGUUCUGUCUGCGGGUGUACGGCCCUCAUGGGUGUGUGCACACGUGUGCACGCAGGCACGUGUCUCUAAGGGGGAGCAGCAGGGCUCCAGCACCACGGCCAGAAGGCAGAAGCAUUUUCUGAUACUUACAGCAUGAAGCUGAGGUGGCACGGGCUCCGGCAGUUAGUGACUUGCUCCCUGACAGGUGUUCAAGGGAGAGUCCAGGCCUGUCUGGUGGGAAUGGGGUAGGAGGAAUUCCUGCAGGUUGGCAGGGGGCCGGGGGUGUGAGCGGAGGAACCCUAAGGAAUCAUUCAAACAUAGAACUUAUCAAAUGUGCAAGUGCCCAGGGCAGAGCUGGCCGGCGAUGGAAGCUUGCAAAGUGGGUAAUAAUGUGCGCUGUUAUUCUUAUAGCCAAUUCGAGCCGUGGUGGCCCUAUCUCUCCUCCAGGUGGUGUUUACCAUGAGCAGCAAAGCGCUGCAGUCCCAGUGCCCAGGCCUGAAAAUUGCUCCCGCCGUUUCACAAUAGAAAAGAAAAUGUUUCUCGGCUGAAAACCACAUUUGCUGGUUAUGAAAAUGAUUCAGAGCUGUUUCUUCUUCUUCUUCUUCUUUUUUUUUUUUUUUUUUUUUGUAUUGAUUCCCAGCCUUCUUGUUUUAUUGUACAAAUACAGGCCCCAGGACGGAAGAUGUAUUACUGCAAAUCUCUUCCCGGGAAAUUGCUCGCAUACAGAGCGCUGUGCCACACUCGGAUCCCCAGUCUACAACAAAGGCAGCAGGGCUUACCCUCGAGGAAGGCACUUUCAGGCCGGCCUGCACCGAGCAGACACAAGAGCAGGUGCAUCAGCCACCUCUGCAUCUGGUCCUGCCUUGGAGCCCUCUGGCAGUAAGACACAGCUCCUGGGCAGCUGGGCUCGCUCUUGUGCCUGGAUGGUCGUGGUGGGGAAGGCAUGAUCUGGGAGCAGAAGGGGCGACACAGCCUCAGGACACUGGGGACACACGGCACGUAGGGUGGCAAGCGCUCUGUGAUGUGCCGUGUGCAAACGUGAGGUCACCACACCGUGCGCCCAAAGCCAGUGCAGCAUUGUGUACCCACCGUAGUUUGGCUAAUCAUGAAACUUUUUUUUUUUAAGAUUUUAUUUAUUUAUUCAUGAGAGACACAGAGAGAGGGAGGGACACAGGCAGAAGGAGAAGCCGGCUCCCUGCAGGAAGCCCGAUGCGGAACUCGAUCCCAGGACCCCGCAGUCACUCCCUGAGCCGAAGGCACACGCUCAACCACUGAGCCACCCGGGCAUCCCAAGAUUUCAUAAUUUUAAAAAGCCUUUGAAUAGUAGGGAGAAUCCCAUGUGAGGGGAAUAUUUUAUUUUAUCCCUUUCAUAGGCUGUGCAAGCGGUGCCAUUAUUUUAUUCAAGCUUUUUUUUUUUAUUGUUUUUUCUCAUGGUUGUCCUGAGUGGAGAUUGGUUUAAAGUUUUUCUAUUUCUGUGCUGAUUUUGUCAAAUUUUGGUAUCCGUGUUACGCUAGUUUUAUAAAAGGAAUUUGGAAGGCAUCCUUCGUUCUCUGGGCUCUGGGAGGGUUUAAAUAGUAUCAGGUUCAUCUGUUGCUUGAACGUUUGAAGGAAUUUACCUUUCAGACCAUCUGGAUUUGGCGCUUUCGUGGAGCGGUUGCUUUAUUUAUAACUUUCCUCAACUUCUUCCAUUGUUUCUAGUCUGUUCAGAUUCCCCAUCUCUUAUGGAGUCAGUUUCGAUCGCAUACAGUCCCUGGAAUCUGUUUUAUUUCACGGAUGUCUUCCAAUGAACGUCCACUGAAUUUUGUGCAGAAGUUAUUAUUUCCUUUGGAUCUGUGGUAUUUUCUCUUGAAAAUGGAGAGAAGCUCGAGCAGUACGCUUGCUUGACCUGUCUUUUUUUGUUAUUUUAUUUUUUUUAAUUUUCAAAAUAUUUUAUUUAAAUUCAAUUUGCCUGUAUAUAGCAGAACACGGCAAGCUCAUCUCAUCAUGCGCCCUCUGUAACGCCUGUCACACACUCAAGCUUUCUCUGACAAUUUACCGAGGUCAUUGUGGGCUCCCCCAGGCUAGCUGCAUCUUGAUGUUAUUUAGAGCUCCACCAGCUUAGUGGGUCUUCCUGAACUUUUUCUAUCAGAGGCUUCGUUCAUCCUUUUUAAUCCUUUAAUCCUUUCUUUUAAACAGGCUCCUAAAUCUCAGGUUCAGCUGAGGAGACAAGACAUCCCACCUGCCAGAGACCAAUGCCAGGUGGGAGACUCAGCCACGCAGACACUCAGGCAAGAUGUCCGGGAGCUGGUUGGGUGGAUGGUCCCAGUGGGGCUGCAACAGGGCAGGCAGACAGGGCCCAGAAGGCACGUGGGAAGAGCCAUGCUCGAGGCAGACCCGACUCCAUGGCGGCCUCGUGAACCGUGCAUCAACAGGGCCAAGCCCGUGAGCGAGCCCAGGGGAGUCUGGGGGUCUCUGUGGCUGGGGCUCCCCCUCCCCAAGCACAGACACCCUAUAUGUCAUAGCAUCCCCAUUCCAUGAGCUCUGGAAGGCAGGGAGGCCUGACAGAAAAGGAGGCCCUGCCCAAGGAGCAAGAGUCGUAGCUCGGGGAAACUCUCUUAGGCAGAGUUCACAUAACCGCACUCCAGGAUGGAAGCAAGCGAGGCCACAGGAGGCCAGGGCCUGUGGGGAGGUUUCUGUGGUCCUGCCUCCUCCUCUGUCCCCUCAUCCCCCUCCUCC
rnacentral:lncRNA from 1 species